rnacentral:rRNA from 1 species
GACGAACGCUGGCGGCGUGCUUAACACAUGCAAGUCGAACGGAAAGGCCCUGCUUUUGUGGGGUGCUCGAGUGGCGAACGGGUGAGUAACACGUGAGUAACCUGCCCUUGACUUUGGGAUAACUUCAGGAAACUGGGGCUACUACCGGAUAGGAGCUCCUGCUGCAUGGUGGGGGUUGGAAAGUUUCGGCGGUUGGGGAUGGACUCGCGGCUUAUCAGCUUGUUGGUGGGGUAGUGGCUUACCAAGGCUUUGACGGGUAGCCGGCCUGAGAGGGUGACCGGCCACAAUGGGACUGAGAUACGGCCCAGACGCCUACGGGAGGCAACAGGGGGGAAUAUUGCCCAAUGGGCGGAAGCCUGAUGCAGCAACGCCGCGUGCGGGAUGACGGCCUUCGGGUUGUAAACCGCUUUCGCCUGUGACGAAGCGUGAGUGACGGUAAUGGGUAAAUAAGCACCGGCUAACUACGUG